GAGAGCCGUGAUGCGGGGAAAGCUCGCACGUCCGGUUCGGGGAGGAGUCGCGCGGAAACGGCCCCCACAAGGGGCACCGCGCCGCGCGGCUUACUCCAC
rnacentral:ncRNA from 1 species